rnacentral:rRNA from 1 species
AGAGUUUGAUCCUGGCUCAGGAUGAACGCUAGCGGCAGGCCUAACACAUGCAAGUCGAGGGGUAGAACACUUCGGUGUUUGAGACCGGCGCACGGGUGCGUAACGCGUAUGCAAUCUACCUUUUACAGGGGAAUAGCCCAGAGAAAUUUGGAUUAAUGCCCCAUAGUAUAUAUCAUUCGCAUGUUUGAUAUAUUAAAGUUCCAACGGUAAAAGAUGAGCAUGCGUCCCAUUAGUUAGUUGGUAAGGUAACGGCUUACCAAGACGAUGAUGGGUAGGGGUCCUGAGAGGGAGAUCCCCCACACUGGUACUGAGACACGGACCAGACUCCUACGGGAGGCAGCAGUGAGGAAUAUUGGACAAUGGGCGCAAGCCUGAUCCAGCCAUGCCGCGUGCAGGAAGAAGCAUCUAUGGUGUGUAAACUGCUUUUGUACGGGAAGAAACACUCCCUCGUGAGGGAGCUGACGGUACCGUAAGAAUA